UGUGGUGAUGAGUCCCCAGUUACAUUCCAAAAGGGCAACUAUGGUCACACAUGAUUACAGGGGAUGAAGCACAGUUUUAUUUUUUUCUUGCCUCACCCAUGAAACUGUGCAACAGCAUAUCAGCAAUCCAUGUGCCUAGCUCUGGAGCACAGUGGGGGCUCCCCAAAACCUGGGGCUCUCUGUCAUUGAGCAGAGCUGUGCCAAAGUGUCUGAUGAAGCAUGGAUCUUGGCUGGCAAGAGCUGCAGUUCCUCUUCUUUUGAAAGAAGCUGGGAAAGGCUCCCCAAAACAACCAGUGGAGAAAACAUCCAGAUGAAAGAUCUGCAUGCUGGGUCUUUUUGUACUGGGAUGAUUGGUGUGCCCUGUGGUCAGCUGCUUUGCCUGGAAGAUUAAUGGCAGAGGAGAAAGUGUGAGGGAAGGACAGGAUGCUGCUUCGUCACUUGCAUUCUUCACCCCAGCCCAGCAGUAACUCUUUCCAGACUACCAGCAGCAGUCUAGGCACUUACAUCCUGCCCCAUUCCCUCUCCAAGAGCUUUGUGCACAGGACAAGUGCAUCCAUCCCCUCUCCCUCAGCAGAGCAGCUGCUGCCAGCUCAGACAGAGGUUUCCAUCUUUCGGAAACAUGAAAAACACUCAUUUCUCUCUCACACCUUUUCAAAACUGGGGCAAAAAUAGAAUAGCAGUUACUGCCAUAUGAGAGAGUGAGAAUGGGAGGCUCUGGAUAAGCAUUUGUAAAAUAUCCAGGGGAAAUGGAUGCCGGCAAAGGCUCUGCUGAGUGGGAGUGGGUGUACCAAAAUGUAUGUGUCAGGAUGAGAAAUGUAUUUCUUGGGAAGGACAUGGAGAACUGGCUGCUUCCCAGAACACAGCUCCUCCUGGGGCUCUUCCUGUGGGAGCUCUCUG